rnacentral:rRNA from 1 species
UACGGGGGGGGCAAGCGUUGUUCGGAAUUACUGGGCGUAAAGCGUGCGCAGGCGGUUUUGUAAGCCAGAUGUGAAAUCCUCGGGCUUAACCUGGGAAUGGCAUUUGGGACUGCAAGGCUUGAGUGCGGCAGAGGAGACUGGAAUUCCUGGUGUAGCAGUGAAAUGCGUAGAUAUCAGGAGGAAUACCGAUGGCGAAGGCAGGUCUCUGGGCUGACACUGACGCUCAUGCACGAAAGCGUGGGGAGCAAACAGG